rnacentral:rRNA from 1 species
UUACUCCUACGGGAGGCAGCAGUGAGGAAUAUUGGUCAAUGGGCGGGAGCCUGAACCAGCCAAGUCGCGUGAAGGAAGAAGGAUCUAUGGUUCGUAAACUUCUUUUGCAGGGGAAUAAAGUGCAGGACGUGUCCUGUUUUGUAUGUACCCUGAGAAUAAGGAUCGGCUAACUCCGUGCCAGCAGCCGCGGUAAUAAUC